GUCGCUGCAACUCAGAGCUGGUGGAACGCUGGCUUUCGCGGCCUGCGAAACGCUGCGACAGUUGGCGGACGACUUUGACAAACGCCGGCGUCCGUGGCGUCCCGCGAGGACGCUGCACUGACGGGGACUGCGACUUGACUAUGAAUUGAUGAGUUCGUUACUGACCACGACGAUAAUGGCUGUGCAACGAGGGUGCAGUGCUGCUACUGCGAUCAUUACCCGUCGAAGCACGCAGCGUUAAGCGAAAUAGGGAACUCACAUAAAGUGCAAGUGUGUGAUCCACGUCAAGAGGAGACUCAAUCGCCCGCCCCCUGUGUCGAUGAAUAUGGUAAGCUCUAACAUGACACACUGUGAUGAGAGAGUAUUUCCACAUCUGUGUUGCACAUCACAGGGCAGCCCAGCUCUGAUUAUGUGCACACCUCACUUUUUAACGGGGAAUUUUAAAGCGGCUAGCACAGGCAAGGCUCAGUUCCCAGGUGAACAGCGAUGUGCCAUCAUCGUCGAGGUUGACCAGGGUGGACGGCAUCGAACCAUCAGCAUUGACACAGACCAGGGUGAAGAGGUAGCUGGUAAAGGAGUCAUUCAACCCGGAUGGGCAAUUGCCACCUAGACCUGCCGUUUUCUUUACGGAACCUGAGGAAUGGCUUUAUGGUGGCACCCAAGGGAAACGCAUACCACUUCACCAUGCUUGUACUUUGGAAAAGGCCGUCGUCCUGUGCCUUCUUAUGUACGACAUUAAGGACUGGUCCUACCCACUUGCA